GAUGAACGCUGGCGGCGUGCCUAACACAUGCAAGUCGAACGGGAAACCUUUUAAUGAAGCUUCCGCAGAUUUAGCUGGGUUCUAGUGGCGGACGGGGGAGUAACGCGUGGGUAACCUGGCUUAUACAGGGGGAUAACAGUCAGAAAUGACUGCUAAUAUCGCAUAAGCGCGCAGGACCGCAUGGUCCGGUGUUAAAAACUCUGGUGGUUUAAGAUGGACCCGCGUUGGAUUUGCUUGUUGGAAGGGUUACGGCACACCAAGGCGACGAGCCGUAGCCGGCAUGAGAGGGUGAACGGCCACACUGGGACUGAGACACGGCCCAGACUCCUACGGGAGGCAGCAGUGGGGAAUAUUGCACAAUGGGGGAAACCCUGAUGGAGCGACGACGCGUGAAGGAAGAAGUAUCUCGGUAUGUAAACUUCUAUCAGCAGGGAAGAUAGUGACGGUACCUGACUAAGAAGCCCCGGCUAACUACGUG
rnacentral:rRNA from 1 species